rnacentral:rRNA from 1 species
UACAGAGGUCUCAAGCGUUGUUCGGAUUCAUUGGGCGUAAAGGGUGCGUAGGCGGUCGGGUAAGUUUGAUGUGAAAUCUCCGGGCUUAACCCGGAAACUGCAUUGAAUACUAUUCGGCUUGAGGUCUGGAGGGGGGACUGGAAUUCUCGGUGUAGCAGUGAAAUGCGUAGAUAUCGAGAGGAACACCAGUGGCGAAGGCGAGUCCCUGGACAGGUCCUGACGCUGAGGCACGAAAGCUAGGGGAGCAAACAGG